rnacentral:rRNA from 1 species
UUAAGCGACUAAGCGUACACGGUGGAUGCCUAGGCAAUCAGAGGCGAUGAAGGACGUGCUAAUCUGCGAUAAGCGUCGGUAAGGUGAUAUGAACCGUUAUACCCGACGAUUUCCGAAUGGGGAAACCCAGUGCAAUCCGUUGCACUAUCGUUUGAUGAAUACAUAGUCAAACGAAGCGAACCGGGGGAACUGAAACAUCUCAGUACCCCGAGGAAAAGAAAUCAACCGAGAUUCCCCUAGUAGCGGCGAGCGAACGGGGAGCAGCCCAGAGUCUUAAUCAGCAUUAGUAUCAGGAGAACGGUCUGGAAAGUCCGGCAGUAAAGGGUGAUAGCCCCGUAUCUGAAGAUAUUAGUGUUGUGAACUCGACGAGUAGGGCGGGACACGUGUUAUCCUGUCUGAAUAUGGGGGGACCAUCCUCCAAGGCUAAAUACUCCUGAUUGACCGAUAGUGAACCAGUACCGUGAGGGAAAGGCGAAAAGAACCCCGGCGAGGGGAGUGAAAUAGAACCUGAAACCGUGUACGUACAAGCAGUGGGAGCCUUGAUUUAUCAGGGUGACUGCGUACCUUUUGUAUAAUGGGUCAGCGACUUAUAUUCUGUAGCAAGGUUAACCGUAUAGGGGAGCCGUAGGGAAACCGAGUCUUAACUGGGCGAAUGAGUUGCAGGGUAUAGACCCGAAACCCGGUGAUCUAGCCAUGGGCAGGUUGAAGGUUGGGUAACACUAACUGGAGGACCGAACCGACUAAUGUUGAAAAAUUAGCGGAUGACUUGUGGCUGGGGGUGAAAGGCCAAUCAAACCGGGAGAUAGCUGGUUCUCCCCGAAAGCUAUUUAGGUAGCGCCUCGUGAACUCAUCUUCGGGGGUAGAGCACUGUUUCGACUAGGGGGUCAUCCCGACUUACCAACUCGAUGCAAACUACGAAUACCGAAGAAUGUUAUCACGGGAGACACACGGCGGGUGCUAACGUUCGUCGUGAAGAGGGAAACAACCCAGACCGCCAGCUAAGGUCCCAAAGUCAUAGUUAAGUGGGAAACGAAGUGGGAAGGCUCAGACAGCCAGGAUGUUGGCUUAGAAGCAGCCAUCAUUUAAAGAAAGCGUAAUAGCUCACUGGUCGAGUCGGCCUGCGCGGAAGAUGUAACGGGGCUAAACUAUGCACCGAAGCUGCGGCAGCGAUAUGUAAAUAUUGUUGGGUAGGGGAGCGUUCUGUAAGCCUGUGAAGGUGUGCUGUGAGGCAUGCUGGAGGUAUCAGAAGUGCGAAUGCUGACAUAAGUAACGAUAAUGCGGGUGAAAAACCCGCACGCCGGAAGACCAAGGGUUCCUGUCCAACGUUAAUCGGGGCAGGGUGAGUCGACCCCUAAGGCGAGGCAGAAAUGCGUAGUCGAUGGGAAACGGGUUAAUAUUCCCGUACUGGUGAUAAUUGCGAUGGGGGGACGGAGAAGGCUAGGCUGGCCGGGCGACGGUUGUCCCGGUUUAAGGAUGUAGGCAGGUGAAUUAGGCAAAUCCGGUUCACUAUAUGCUGAGGUCUGAUGACGAGUCACUACGGUGGCGAAGUAGCUCAUGCCCCGCUUCCAGGAAAAGCCUCUAAGCUCUAGAUUAUCAUUAAUCGUACCCCAAACCGACACAGGUGGUCAGGUAGAGAAUACUCAGGCGCUUGAGAGAACUCGGGUGAAGGAACUAGGCAAAAUGGUGCCGUAACUUCGGGAGAAGGCACGCUGGCGCUAGGUGAAGUGGUUUACCCAUGGAGCUGAAGCCAGUCGCAGAUACCAGCUGGCUGCAACUGUUUAUUAAAAACACAGCACUGUGCAAACACGAAAGUGGACGUAUACGGUGUGACGCCUGCCCGGUGCUGGAAGGUUAAUUGAUGGGGUUAUCCGUAAGGAGAAGCUCUUGAUCGAAGCCCCAGUAAACGGCGGCCGUAACUAUAACGGUCCUAAGGUAGCGAAAUUCCUUGUCGGGUAAGUUCCGACCUGCACGAAUGGCGUAAUGAUGGCCAGGCUGUCUCCACCCGAGACUCAGUGAAAUUGAACUCGCUGUGAAGAUGCAGUGUACCCGCGGCAAGACGGAAAGACCCCGUGAACCUUUACUAUAGCUUGACACUGAACAUUGAGCCUUGAUGUGUAGGAUAGGUGGGAGGCUUUGAAGUGUGGACGCCAGUCUGCAUGGAGCCAACCUUGAAAUACCACCCUUUAAUGUUUGAUGUUCUAACGUUGCCCCGUUAUCCGGGGUGCGGACAGUGUCUGGUGGGUAGUUUGACUGGGGCGGUCUCCUCCCAAAGAGUAACGGAGGAGCACGAAGGUUGGCUAAGCAUGGUCGGACAUCAUGCGGUUAGUGCAAAGGCAUAAGCCAGCUUGACUGCGAGAGUGACGGCUCGAGCAGGUACGAAAGUAGGUCUUAGUGAUCCGGUGGUUCUGAAUGGAAGGGCCAUCGCUCAACGGAUAAAAGGUACUCCGGGGAUAACAGGCUGAUACCGCCCAAGAGUUCAUAUCGACGGCGGUGUUUGGCACCUCGAUGUCGGCUCAUCACAUCCUGGGGCUGAAGUAGGUCCCAAGGGUACGGCUGUUCGCCGUUUAAAGUGGUACGCGAGCUGGGUUUAGAACGUCGUGAGACAGUUCGGUCCCUAUCUGCCGUGGGCGUUGGAAGAUUGAAAGGGGCUGCUCCUAGUACGAGAGGACCGGAGUGGACGCACCACUGGUGUUCGGGUUGUCAUGCCAAUGGCAUUGCCCGGUAGCUAAGUGCGGAAGAGAUAACCGCUGAAAGCAUCUAAGCGGGAAACUUGCCUUGAGAUGAGUCUUCCCUGACCCUUUAAGGGUCCUAAAGGAACGUUUAAGACUAAGACGUUGAUAGGUUGGGUGUGUAAGCAUAGCGAUAUGUUGAGCUAACCAAUACUAAUGAACCGUGAGGCUUAACCUG